rnacentral:tRNA from 1 species
CGGCCUAUCGUCCAACCUGGAUAGGGCGCAGGUUUCCGAAACCUGAAAUUCCGGUUCGAAUCCGGAUGGGCCGGCCA